CGGAGGGUGCGAGCGUUGUCCGGAAUCACUGGGCGUAAGGGGCGCGUAGGCGGCCUGAUAAGUAGGGGGUGAAAUCCUGCGGCUUAACCGCAGGGCUGCCUUCUAAACUGUCGGGCUUGAGCACAGUAGAGGCAGGUGGAAUUCCCGGUGUAGCGGUGGAAUGCGUAGAGAUCGGGAAGAACAUCAGUGGCGAAGGCGGCCUGCUGGGCUGUUGCUGACGCUGAGGCGCGACAGCGUGGGGAGCAGACAGGAUUAGAUACCCUGGUAGUCCACGCCGUAAACGAUGGGCACUAGGCGUCGGGGGGAGCGACCCUCCCGGCGCCGUCGCUAACGCAGUAAGUGCCCCGCCUGGGGAGUACGGCCGCAAGGCUG
rnacentral:rRNA from 1 species